rnacentral:snRNA from 2 species
AUCUUUGCGCUUGGGGCAAUGACGCAGCUAAUGAGGUUCUAACCGAGGCGCGUCUAUUGCUGGUUGAAAACUAUUUCCAAACCCCCUCCUAGGCCUAAGCUUGUCUUGGGCCUUCGAGAAUUUCUGGAAGGGCUCCCUUUGGGGUAAAGCC